rnacentral:rRNA from 1 species
AAUGAACGCUGGCGGCGCGCCUAAUACAUGCAAGUCGAGCGAGAAGACGUAGCAAUACGUUUGUAAAGCGGCGAACGGGUGAGGAAUACAUGGGUAACCUACCCUCGAGUGGGGAAUAACUAGCCGAAAGGUUAGCUAAUACCGCGUACGCUUCUUGGACUUCGGUUCAGGGAGGAAAGCGAUGCCGAGGGUAUCGCGCUCUUGGAUGGGCUCAUGUCCUAUCAGCUGUUGGUGAGGUAACGGCUCACCAAGGCUUCGACGGGUAGCUGGUCUGAGAGGACGAUCAGCCACACUGGCACUGCGACACGGGCCAGACUCCUACGGGAGGCAGCAGUCGGGAAUUUUGGGCAAUGGGCGAAAGCCUGACCCAGCAACGCCGCGUGAAGGAUGAAGUAUUUCGGUAUGUAAACUUCGAAAGAAUAGGAAGAAUAAAUGACGUACUAUUUAUAA